GCCAAUUUAGCUCAGCUGGUAGAGCAACGCAUUCGUAAUGCGUAGGUCGCGAGUUCGAGUCUCGCAAUUGGCU
rnacentral:tRNA from 2 species